AUUGAACGCUGGCGGCAUGCCUUACACAUGCAAGUCGAACGGUAACAGGUCUUCGGAUGCUGACGAGUGGCGAACGGGUGAGUAAUACAUCGGAACGUGCCUUGUGGUGGGGGAUAACUACUCGAAAGAGUGGCUAAUACCGCAUGAGAUCUACGGAUGAAAGCAGGGGAUCGCAAGACCUUGUGCUACUAGAGCGGCCGAUGGCAGAUUAGGUAGUUGGUGGGAUAAAAGCUUACCAAGCCGACGAUCUGUAGCUGGUCUGAGAGGACGAUCAGCCACACUGGGACUGAGACACGGCCCAGACUCCUACGGGAGGCAGCAGUGGGGAAUUUUGGACAAUGGGCGCAAGCCUGAUCCAGCAAUGCCGCGUGCAGGAUGAAGGCCUUCGGGUUGUAAACUGCUUUUGUACGGAACGAAAAGCCCUGGGUUAAUACCCUGGGGUCAUGACGGUACCGUAAGAAUAAGCACCGGCUAACUACGUGCCAGCAGCCGCGGUAACAC
rnacentral:rRNA from 1 species